UUUUCAAACCAGCUGUGCUAAUUGCAAAACAGUGUCGUAAAAUCCAGGGUUUGUUUCAUACAAAAGGAAAUCUUAAAACAAACUGCAAGUUCAAAGAAAGCUUGAGAAUGCUUGUUUCAUGUGGACACAAUGAAAGGAAUACGUGCAUGUAGUAUAAUUAUUGAGUCUCUGUAUCUAAUGAAUGCGUCUGUGAUCACAUAUAAAUAACAAGUCCUGCAAGAUUCUGAGUACCUCUAAAGAAAUAUGGGGCAUAGAAUUUUCUGCCUUAUCCAGUGCCUAGAAAUGUUACUCUUUUAAACUUCAAAUCCCAGAAUCUUCCAGACAUCAUGCUUGGCUUUGAGGACUUAUAGACCAAAAAGAGACUCACACUAUAUCAAGAGCAAGUGGAACUUGGAAAUCUACAGCAAUCUAGUAAAUGCAGUAGCUACUUCUGGAUUUUCUAUGCUUUAUUCCUCUUGUGAUGUUCCUUUGUCUAUUACUUUUCUCUUUCUCAUUUUACCAUUUUAGCUGGGACAGGCCACUUGAGACUUUCUUGCAUGAUGCCUCUAUUCUGUGCCAUUCACAUGAUCAAAGAUAGUGGAAACAUGGCGACGCUCAUAAUAACACUGCUGCAAGCAUCAUGCAACUGCAAUGCGAGAUCUUGUGACUAUACUUCUGGUAAAUUCAGAGUGGGACAGAAGGACAAUCCCUGGGAUCAUUGCACCUGUGGCACACUAAGAGGCUAUUGACUCUUUUUUUCCCAUCAGUAGCAGGGGACAGCUUUGUCAUAGGGAGGUAGAAGACCAGCAACAGGACGGCAUACCGGUAGCAUUCUGCUUCUCUGCCAGUUUUCCACCUCCAUGCAAUAAAAUCCUCAGUCAGAGACUCAA